rnacentral:rRNA from 1 species
UACCUGCAGCUCGAGUGGUAACCGCUAUUAUUGGGCCUAAAGCGUCCGUAGCCGGCUUGGUAAAUAUCUGGGUAAAUCGUGAGGCUUAACUUCACGAAUUUCGGAUAGACUGCCAGACUUGGGAUCGGGGGAGGUCAGAGGUACUCCAGGGGUAGCGGUGAAAUGUUGUAAUCCUUGGAGGACCACCGGUAGCGAAGGCGUCUGACUAGAACGAGUCCGACGGUGAGGGACGAAGCCCUGGGGCGCAAACCGGAUUAGAUACCCGGGUAGUCCAGGGUGUAAACUAUGUGGGCUUUGUAUUGGAGGUCCCACGUGGGCGUCCAGUGCAGAAGAGAAGUUGUUAAGCCCACCGCCUGGGAAGUACGGUCGCAAGGCUGAAACUUAAAGGAAUUGGCGGGGGAGCACAGCAACGGGAGGAGCGUGCGGUUU